UACAGAGGUCUCAAGCGUUGUUCGGAUUCAUUGGGCGUAAAGGGUGCGUAGGCGGCGAGGCAAGUCAGGUGUGAAAUCUCGGGGCUCAACUCCGAAACUGCACUUGAUACUGCCUUGCUAGAGUACUGGAGAGGAGAUUGGAAUUUACGGUGUAGCAGUGAAAUGCGUAGAGAUUAGGAAGAACACUAGUGGCGAAAGCGAUUCUCUGGACCAUAACUGACGCUGAGGCAUGAAAGCGUGGGUAGCAAACAGG
rnacentral:rRNA from 1 species